GAUGAACGCUGGCGGCGUGCCUAAUACAUGCAAGUCGAGCGAACGGACGAGAAGCUUGCUUCUCUGAUGUUAGCGGCGGACGGGUGAGUAACACGUGGAUAACCUACCUAUAAGACUGGGAUAACUUCGGGAAACCGGAGCUAAUACCGGAUAAUAUUUUGAACCGCAUGGUUCAAAAGUGAAAGACGGUCUUGCUGUCACUUAUAGAUGGAUCCGCGCUGCAUUAGCUAGUUGGUAAGGUAACGGCUUACCAAGGCAACGAUGCAUAGCCGACCUGAGAGGGUGAUCGGCCACACUGGAACUGAGACACGGUCCAGACUCCUACGGGAGGCAGCAGUAGGGAAUCUUCCGCAAUGGGCGAAAGCCUGACGGAGCAACGCCGCGUGAGUGAUGAAGGUCUUCGGAUCGUAAAACUCUGUUAUUAGGGAAGAACAUAUGUGUAAGUAACUGUGCACAUCUUGACGGUACCUAAUCAGAAAGCCACGGCUAACUACGUGCCAGCAGCCGCGGUAAUACGUAGGUGGCAAGCGUUAUCCGGAAUUAUUGGGCGUAAAGCGCGCGUAGGCGGUUUUUUAAGUCUGAUGUGAAAGCCCACGGCUCAACCGUGGAGGGUCAUUGGAAACUGGAAAACUUGAGUGCAGAAGAGGAAAGUGGAAUUCCAUGUGUAGCGGUGAAAUGCGCAGAGAUAUGGAGGAACACCAGUGGCGAAGGCGACUUUCUGGUCUGUAACUGACGCUGAUGUGCGAAAGCGUGGGGAUCAAACAGGAUUAGAUACCCUGGUAGUCCACGCCGUAAACGAUGAGUGCUAAGUGUUAGGGGGUUUCCGCCCCUUAGAGCUGCAGCUAACGCAUUAAGCACUCCGCCUGGGGAGUACGACCGCAAGGUUGAAACUCAAAGGAAUUGACGGGGACCCGCACAAGCGGUGGAGCAUGUGGUUUAAUUCGAAGCAACGCGAAGAACCUUACCAAAUCUUGACAUCCUUUGACAACUCUAGAGAUAGAGCCUUCCCCUUCGGGGGACAAAGUGACAGGUGGUGCAUGGUUGUCGUCAGCUCGUGUCGUGAGAUGUUGGGUUAAGUCCCGCAACGAGCGCAACCCUUAAGCUUAGUUGCCAUCAUUAAGUUGGGCACUCUAAGUUGACUGCCGGUGACAAACCGGAGGAAGGUGGGGAUGACGUCAAAUCAUCAUGCCCCUUAUGAUUUGGGCUACACACGUGCUACAAUGGACAAUACAAAGGGCAGCGAAACCGCGAGGUCAAGCAAAUCCCAUAAAGUUGUUCUCAGUUCGGAUUGUAGUCUGCAACUCGACUACAUGAAGCUGGAAUCGCUAGUAAUCGUAGAUCAGCAUGCUACGGUGAAUACGUUCCCGGGUCU
rnacentral:rRNA from 1 species